CUUUCGGUCUUACUUGUUAUUCUCAUUGACUACAACCUUGUUGUCUGUCUGACCCAAUAAGCUGAUCAUAGAACGGGCUUUAACCAUUCCAAGCUUCAUUCUCUUCUUUGCAAUUACCACUGGCUUCUUCUCAUCAUCAUUACCCAAGGUAUCGUCAUUCUCAUCAAUGAUUUUCUUUUCAAGAUCAGAAUUAGAAGAUGAAGCACUAUCAACAGCAUUGUUUGGUUCAGUAGUAGUAGUAGAAAAUCCAAUAUUAGAUCUAUUUCUAACACUUGUCAUACUUCUCAAUCUUCCUUUCCCUAAAUGAUGCUCACAAAGUGAAUAACCAACAAGUGUUUGUUGACAACAUCUCCAUCCUCUUCCAUUAACACGACUGCACCUUGAACCUUCCAUCACUGCACUUCCCCUUUUUGUCACCUUCUUCUUAAUAUUCACUUUUGUUUCGCUUUCUUCAUCAUCUUUCCCCAAAGAACACUUCUUAUUCAUCUUGGUGUUCAUCUUAGCCUUCACUUUCUUACUAUCAUUACCCUCCAUACCAUUAUUCUGGAACCUUCCUUUCCUUUUCUUUAACGGAAUGGUUUUCUCUCCCUCCAACCAUAUCUCAUCUACAUACAUAUAUGAGAACUAACUAUAAUUAAACCAUGCUCACAAAGCAAUAUAUAUAUAUAUACACACACACACACACACACACACAUAGAAUAACAAAUUAAUUAGUAGUAGUAAUUUUUGUUACCUUCAGAAAAAGUGCUUGAUGAUGGCAAGGCUUGAGAAACAACCAAGAUAUCUCCCUUGCUAAGAACCAAGUACACCCAGAAAGACAAAAAAACCACAUACAUGAAAUUUAGAGCAUAUAAGGGAAUAUUAUUGAGUGAUAUGAAGAUAAUAAAUAUGAGUGUAACAUUAUUGUUGAGGAACAAAGUGCAAUAUAUAGAUGGGGACCAGUUAUAACUAGUAGUGCACCUCAAGUGCAAAAUGGUAGCUACCUAUUUUAGAGAAAAGAAGGAUGGGCUUAAUUUGGUUAUAUAUUAUAUAAAUAUAUAUACAAAAAUUCUUCUUAUUUAAAACACCUUCAACAGUAUUUUCCAAUGGUAUAAUUUUAAAUAAAAAAGCACAAUUUUCUUUUUGGAAGCUGGUUAAAAAUUAGAACUUUUUUACUAUAUCAUGAAAGAAUAAGAUAGAAAAAAGGUUAGAGAUUCAUUCCAUUUCUCACCUGGUAUGAUUACUUUUGUUACCUCCUGAGUCAUCACUCUCUUUCUCUUCCCCUCUAACUUUCUUAUCCUGCACAAUCAAAUCAACCAUACCAAAAUACAUGGUUUUAAUGUAGGAACCCUUUCUGGGUGUAAAAUAAUUUUCUUUAUUUUUUGAGAAAAAAUUAAUUAAAUUUGACACCAAGGGGUAACCACUUGCAAAAGAUUGGACAAAAGUGCAAUUGUAAAAACCCAAAUCAUGAAAUCUAAAAAAUAAAAAAAAUAAAAAAGAAAACAGAAAUAAUAAACAAAAGAUGUUUUUUUCAAAUCAAAAUGGUUUUUUUUUUAUUGCUUACCAAAGGAUCUAGCUUGUUGUGCUGUUUGUGUACCCCACUUUCCUCAACACUAGAUGGAUAAUCAUAGCCGUUGUUUAGUUUCCCGAUCAGUGGGAGUGUUUGAUCAGACGGCUGAUAACGAUCCAAGCUCAAACCAGCUGAAACAUGUUCUUGUGAUUGUGAAGAACAAGGUUUUGGUCCAUCACCUUGUUGCACCACCACCGGUGACUGGUUAAUCAGGUGGGGAUCUGAGAGAUGCAAAGGUGAAAGAGAGUCAGAAGAAGAGAAAAGAAGUUGUCUCUUACGGAUCCUCAUCGGUGCAAGAUUGAAGAAAAAACUUGUACACACAAACUCACGAGAUUCACUCUCUCAAAAUAAAUAAUAAAAGACUUUGUUUAGAAAAGAAAGGAUCUUUUGGUUUUGAGAUUGUAAGAGAGAAAAAAACAAGAUUGAAAAUUAUUAGAUUAGAUUAGAUGAGUAAACCCAUCUAGUCUACUACAUGGGAAGGACCAAGAAAAAAAGUUAUAUAUGCUUUUAUCUUAGUAUUUUUGUGUGUGUCUAUAUAUUGGUUCCACACGAGUUACUUUCUCUCUCUAACUUUUUUAUUAGUUGCACCACAGAAAGGAAGGAGUUGUAUGGGUGAGAGAUGGCACGUGUGAAGAGUUUUUUGGAUGAAGAAGCACGUGUAAGAGUAGGAACUUGGAGAGACGGUAACCGGUGGAAGAGAGAGAGACAGACAGAAAGUGACAGAGUACGACGAAUUGGGAGGAUGUGGAAGAAAGCGUUAUAUUACAAAAUUAAAGCAAGCUAGUAAUACUAUUAAUUAAUUUUAUAUUUAAGAUAAAAAUAAAAAAUAAAAAAUAAAAGAAGAAAAUUAAGUCCUUGAAAAGGACACGCCUAAAAUAUCGCCUAGUAAAGUAUGUGGUAAACACGAAAGAGACUCGUCAAACGUGAUAAGAUGGUCUGAACUUUUAGCUCCCAAUUUAGCAAGGACAUAAGUGCAAAUAAAUCAAUUAUUAGCAAGAUAAUUAUGGAUAAGUUCCAAGAGAUUUACAUAAUGAUGAAACUUCGAGAUGUCCUUCAUCACUAACUGUACCACAUGAAGAGAGUCGGAGAAACAUGCGAGCUUUCUAUAACCUCCUUCCGAACAUAACUUUAUACCAAUCAACAACACUUAAAUCCCACCAUGCUACCAAAGAAACCAUGAAGAAAGCUUCCAUCGUGUUUAAAUAUUAACCCAACAUAGCCCGCCUUUCCUAGAUUGUUCAGAGCACUUCUAUAGUCAAUUAAGGUUUGAUAAGUGGUUAAAAACUCAUUCGUAUGAUUUUAAGUUCAAUUCUCAUCACGGACAUUUUUUAUAAAUGAUCUAUAGUUUUUUUGUUGUUGUUCGUUCUUUCAUAUCUUAUAUAUUUCACUCCUAUAAACUUUGAUGUUCAAUUAAUUUCAACUUUUCAUAAACUAAUAAAAGUAACAUACAAAAAAAAAAACUAAUAAAAGUAAAAACUAUAAGCGAAGAGAGACGGUAUAUACCUUAACAUGAUGGGGAUUUGUGGGUCCCGCAACAUCGACUCUUAUACCAACAUUAACACCUUAAUUCAGCUCUCACCCACAAGUUGACCUUUCCAACUUGUAGUAUUCUUCAUGUAAUAACCCGGUUACCGCUAACCCUCGGUUCCAUAAUUAUAAAUUACCUCUGCAAAAAAUUAUCUUUCUUAAAUACUCCGUAAACUUCUAUGCAUUUUUUUAAGGAGAGUUAAGUAAAGCGAAUUUUUAUUUUCUAAAGGAGAAAAUUUAGGUACAAUUUCUUAGGUAUUUUUCGUAUGAUUCUUAAUUAAAAAUAUAUAUUUUUUGGAUAUAACAAACUUUGAGAAAAUUAUAAAUUUGAGGAAAUCAUGGUGAAUUUAGUUAAAAACCAUACGAAAAGUACCUAAGAAAUUGUAUCUAAAUUUUCUACUUUUCUAAAAACAUCAUCAAGAAAUCGUGAUAGUCUUGUUAAAAAAUAUUAUUUUCUAAAAACAAUGUCAUCCAGAAAUCAUGAUAGUUUCUUUCGGAAUAUUCAGCAUAUCCUUUUUUAUUUGGGAUGUUCUAUGACAUUUGUUAAGGAUUUAAAGAGAAAAUAAUUGAUUAAUUUCAUGUAAAAUAAAUGUUAUAUUUUUAAAUUUUAAUGUGUUAAAUAUAUUAUUACCAAUAUAAAAUUUACACUUUAAACUUUAUAAUAAGUGAUAGGACACUUGUUAACUUUUCUCUUUUUAUUUAACUAGUUUUAUCCAACAUAUCAUGUACAUUUGUUUUUAAAUAUACUUCUUAUUAAUUUAUUUUGAAAGAUAAAAAAUUUAAGUAAAAAAAAAGAGCUUCCUUCAAAAAAAAAAAAAGUAAAAAAAAGAGCUAGACAUUUAAGAUUUUAGAAAUUUACACAAAAUCGACAUAUUAAAUUUAUUAUCAAUUUUUCUUAAUAUAUGUAAAAAAAAAAAAAAUAGUGCUUAUAAAUUACUACCAGAGGACACAUUUAAUAUUACAAUAGGCUUAAAUAAUAUCAUGUGAAAUUUCCCACAAAGCCGUCACUACUUACACCAUUACAUGUGUCUUUUCAGCCAAAUCCGAAAUUAAUGUGAUCAAAACGGUUUUGUCAUUUCCCUUUUAAACUAAUAAAACGCUUCAUCCGAUUUUACGAUAAAAGGUUUUGCUACGAUAGUAAAGCCAUCACGACUCACACCACUACCCGUGCUUUUUCCACUAAAUCCAAAAUUAAAAUGAUCGAAACGGAACCCACUUGAAUUGGCAUAGUGAUAUAGGUUUGGGAUCUGGAAGUGUGAUCCUCCUCAAGGUCUCACAUUUGAUUCUCUCUAGUGCUAAUUUGAAGGGGUUAGUUUAGCUUUUUAAAAAAAAAAAAAAAUGAUCGAAAUGGUUUUUCCAUUUCCCUUUUGAAUUUUAAAAAAACAAGAAAACAUUUCACAUUAAAAAGUUUCGCUAUAUAUAGCAUUCCUCUUAAUAUUAUUAUGGCAAGUUUCUCAAAAUUUCUUUUUUCAUUAUAACAAACUUAUUUCAAUUGCAAGAAUAAUAAUGUUUGUAAUACAAUUUUGAAUGACAUAAAAUUAUUUAGAAUUGGCGUAAAGCCUCCUUGACGCUCUUGAAAGCUUGUGAACAAAAAGGUUUGUUUGCCUCCCUUAAAGUAUGUGCAAACAUGGUUGUUUUGAACAGUAAUCCUUUGGUCUUUUUUUGUUACAAAAUUUUAGGGUGAGGGGAUGGUGCCCCAGUCCAAGGCAGGGAAGACCUUCGGGCUCAAAGAGCACUUACAAAGGUAAUUACAUUUACCUCCCUCCAAAGACACUAGCGGGGCUCCAUUUUGUCUUUCAUUAUAUGCAACUUUAAAUAGAGAUAAUUGUACCGAAAUAUUACUAUUAUCGUCCUUAUAAUAUAGGACUCGUUGAUUAAAUAAUGAUAAUUAAGAAAGUUGACAGUAAUAUUAAUUUCACGUUAAAAAAUGCAAGAUGAAGUGCCAAACUCUUUUUAAAAUGGCACAUUAAAAAAUGAGAUAAAGUUUCGUCAAGACUACCACCAUUAGCGCACAAACGCAAUUUAUGAUAAAUAAUGUCACGCCUAAACAAACUAUCCUUUGUUGGAAGACGAUUAUGCAAAAAUCGUCAAGCAAAAAGAGACACCUUCGUCAGAACUGGAUUAUUCCAAAUAAUAUCAAGAAUUUGCGGACAACCCAAAACAGAAUCCUUCCUUUGAGAAAGAAGUUUGCUGGCCACUUUGACUGUAAAUUCGUCAUUAAGAUCAUCCCCCAAGAGCACUUGGAAAUAUAGACCGCAAAGAAAAUUAUCUAAUGAUAAAAUGCAUUCAUGCAACAAAUCUUUUCCUAAGCAAAUAAAGGUUUCCUCCCAUGUCGAUCAGUCCCAUCAACAAACCCCUCGUCGAAUGGAUUGUAAAUCAUGCCACAAAGCCAAAGCCUUAAUUACCGCCACCAUCACGAAUAACUCCCUUCAUUGUCUCAUACUUACGAGCUAGCACCUUUAACCACAAACCAUCCUCGUCUGACCUCGACCUCCAACACCACUUUCCUAAUAAAGCUAAAUUAAAUUCCUUAACAUGCCUUACACCAAGACCUCCUUUGUCCUUAUCAAAGCAAAUUUUAUCCCAGUGAAUCCAAUGCACUUAUCGGCCUCACAAUCACCCCCACCCCUCCUCUAUAAAAAAAAUAUUUAAAGAGAAAUUCGAUUAAGGAAAUAAUACAUAAAGGAGCCUUGAAGAAAGAAAGAAAAUAAAUCGAGAGAGGAGACAAUGACUUAAGGAGAACAAGACGACUAUCCAUCGAUAGGUUACAACAUUUCCAACCAAAUAAACAACUGUUUAUUCUAUCAACCAAGAUUUUUCAAAAGGAUAAUCGUCGAGGGUUACCUCCAAUCGAUAAAGAAAUAAUUAAAACAAUUAUAAAUUCAAAAGAUUCUUAUAAAAAUGACAAGAAAAUUUCUCAAAUGGUCUUGUCAUAUAUUUAGUGAUGGAAGUAGUAUAAUAUUUAUUUUAAAUUAUUGGAUGUAUUUAAACCAAAUAAACCUCGAAUUAAUUAAUAUGAAAAAAAUAAAAUUAAACACAUAUAUAAGUCAAUAGUACUUAGAGGUCUUAGGUUCAAUAUUACAUAUUUAUAUCACAUAACACCGUACGAAAAUAAAGCACAAGCUUAAGUUGAAUAGAGAGGACAUUAGCAGUGACAAUACUUCCUUCCUUAAAAAUAAAAAAAAUAAAAAAAUAAAAAAACAGUGACAAUACUAGCACCAAAAUAAUAGAAAUUCUUAAAAACUCUUCAAAUUAAACUUCAAAUACAUGUAAUAAUAAUUUUGUUGUACUCUUUCGGUCUUACUUGUUAUUCUCAUUGACUACAACCUUGUUGUCUGUCUGUCCCAAUAAGCUGCUCAUAGAUCGGGCUUUAACCAUUCCAAGCUUCAUUCUCUUCUUUGCAAUUACCACUGGCUUCUUCUCAUCAUCAUUACCCAAGGUAUCGUCAUUCUCAUCAAUGAUUUUCUUUUCAAGAUCAGAAUUAGAAGAUGAAGCACUAUCAACAGCAUUGUUUGGUUCAGUAGUAGUAGUAGAAAAUCCAAUAUUAGAUCUAUUUCUAACACUUGUCAUACUUCUCAAUCUUCCUUUC
rnacentral:lncRNA from 1 species